GAUGAACGCUGGCGGCGUGCCUAAUACAUGCAAGUCGAGCGAACGGACGAGAAGCUUGCUUCUCUGAUGUUAGCGGCGGACGGGUGAGUAACACGUGGAUAACCUACCUAUAAGACUGGGAUAACUUCGGGAAACCGGAGCUAAUACCGGAUGAUAUUUUGAACCGCAUGGUUCAAAAGUGAAAGAGGGUCUUGCUGUCACUUAUAGAUGGAUCCGCGCUGCAUUAGCUAGUUGGUAAGGUAACGGCUUACCAAGGCAACGAUGCAUAGCCGACCUGAGAGGGUGAUCGGUCACACUGGAACUGAGACACGGUCCAGACUCCUACGGGAGGCAGCAGUAGGGAAUCUUCCGCAAUGGGCGAAAGCCUGACGGAGCAACGCCGCGUGAGUGAUGAAGGUCUUCGGAUCGUAAAACUCUGUUAUUAGGGAAGAACAUAUGUGUAAGUAACUGUGCACAUCUUGACGGUACCUAAUCAGAAAGCCACGGCUAACUACGUG
rnacentral:rRNA from 1 species